GCCAAAAUAAUUGGGGGAAUUAUUUAGAAGUAUCUAUGAUUUCAAUUUAAUUUUUACUCAUAUUUAUGUAUUUUUAAUGUUAUUAGUAAAGUUAAAAAUAUUUAAUUCUUUUUAUUAACCAAUCAACUUGAAUUAUUUAUUUUUAUUUUUUAAAAUUAAUUUAAAAAACAAAUCUUUUGACUAAUGGUGGAAUGCCACUUGGCAUUAUUUUUAUUUCUCUUUCUCUUUUCUCUUUUUUUUUUCCUUUUUUUUUUCUUUUUCUCCUUCAUUUUCUCUCUUUCUCUCUCCACGUUUCUUCUCCUCUCACUCACAGAUUUCCCUUUUCUCUUUUCUUCACUCUCUUUCCUAUUCUCUUGUCACCUCACUUCAACCCACAUAAAAAUAUUUAAAAAACAAAAUAUUUCUCAUCUCUCUUUAAAAGAGAAAACCGCCAAUGUUCUCAA
rnacentral:lncRNA from 1 species